rnacentral:rRNA from 1 species
UACGUAGGGUGCGAGCGUUGUCCGGAAUUAUUGGGCGUAAAGAGCUUGUAGGUGGCUCGUCGCGUCGGGAGUGAAAACCCGCGGCUUAACCGCGGGCCUGCUUUCGAUACGGGCGGGCUAGAGUUCGGCAGGGGAGACUGGAAUUCCUGGUGUAGCGGUGGAAUGCGCAGAUAUCAGGAGGAACACCGGUGGCGAAGGCGGGUCUCUAGUACGGUACUGACGCUGAGACGCGAAAGCGUGGGGAGCGAACAGG